rnacentral:rRNA from 1 species
CCUACGGGAGGCUGCAGUGGGGAGUAUUGCACAAUGGGGGGAACCCUGAUGCAGCGACGCCGCGUGGGUGAGGAAGUACUUCGGUAUGUAAAGCCCUAUCAGCAGGGCAGAAAAUGACGGUACCUGUCGACUAAGCCACGGCUAACUACGUGUCAGCAGCCGCGGUAAUACGUAGGUGUCAAGCGUUGUCCGGAUUUACUGGGUGGAACGGGCGUGUAGCCGGGCUGACAAGUCAGAUGUGAAAUCCGGGGGCUCAACCCCCGAACUGCGUUUGAAACUGUUGGUCUUGGGUAUCGGAGAGGCAGGCGGAAUUCCUAGUGUAGCGGUGAAAUGCGUAGAUAUUAGGAGGAACACCAGUGGCGAAGGCGGCCUGCUGGACGACAACUGACGGUGAGGCGCGAAAGCGUGGGGAGCAAACAGGAUUAGAUACCCUGGUAGUC